AGUGUACACUAUUGGCUGUUUCUGUUUAUCCGAGUGUUGAAUAUCCCACUCACGUUUAUAUCCCAUAAGCGGGGAUUAAACCGCUGUACGCCCUUCAUACUAGAGCGAGUCUAACGCUCUGAUAAAUGUGAGUUCUAUUUCAGCCUUUUAUUAUUUUUAUCUUUUUAUUCUGAAGCAUAUUGCACUAUUUGGUUCUCCACUUUUUUAUCUUCUACAUACGAGCAGAUCCAUACGGAGGAAAACAUAAAGCACUAUUGUUCUGGAUCAAGCACGGA